rnacentral:tmRNA from 1 species
GGGGGUGAAAGGCUUCGACCCAGGUAAGCAAGGUAAAAGAUGCAUGUAGAGGAUGCUUGGAGGCCUCUCUAAAAACCAGGCAAACAUCAAAUGCUGACAAAUACAACGUGCCAGCGACGGUAAAUGAGUUACUCAACACCAUGCAAGUGGUGCCGAGUGCUUAUGUACCGGCAGCGUUAGCUAUAUAAGCUAACCCGCCAGCCGGUUUGAGCCUGCGCAACCGGACCUGACGACGAUAGCGGGCUGGUCCCGUCCUCACCUCCUUUUGAGAACGGGAUGAGAGCACAAUAGGAUACCUUCGCAGGAUUUCGCCUGUUAAAGCCUGCGCGGGGAAACCAAAGAUCAGGAUAAACAUGUAGUGUCUUCUACUCUGAUGUCUGGGGACGGCGGUUCGAAUCCGCCCACCUCCACCA